rnacentral:rRNA from 1 species
AAGGGCGUACUAAUCUGCGAUAAGCGCCGGUAAGGUGAUAUGAACCGUUAUAACCGGCGAUACCCGAAUGGGGAAACCCAGUGUGAUUCGUCACACUAUCAUUAACUGAAUCCAUAGGUUAAUGAGGCGAACCGGGGGAACUGAAACAUCUAAGUACCCCGAGGAAAAGAAAUCAACCGAGAUUCCCCCAGUAGCGGCGAGCGAACGGGGAGGAGCCCAGAGCCUGAAUCAGCAUGUGUGUUAGUGGAAGCGUCUGGAAAGGCGCGCGAUACAGGGUGACAGCCCCGUACACAAAAGCGCAUGUGCUGUGAGCUCGAUGAGUAGGGCGGGACACGUGGUAUCCUGUCUGAAUAUGGGGGGACCAUCCUCCAAGGCUAAAUACUCCUGACUGACCGAUAGUGAACCAGUACCGUGAGGGAAAGGCGAAAAGAACCCCGGCGAGGGGAGUGAAAAAGAACCUGAAACCGUGUACGUACAAGCAGUGGGAGCCCCACCACCAAAGCAUUUGCUGUACCGCGUUGAC